UGUCUCUCCAAAUCCCCAAAUUUAUUCGACAAAACAAAAUCCCUAAACCUAAUCCUCAGAACGACGUCGUUGCUCGCACCACCGGAGCUGCCAUGAGCCCUCUGUCAAGUUGGUAAAGAGAAGGUCAAUAUUAGAAGUACAAGUACAAACUGGGAAAAGCACUGCCAGAUUUAGCUACCAUCAAUCUCAAUUUGUCCAAGACAAGGACGAAGCCACCCAAAGCAAAAAGCAUGAGCUGUGCAAAUGACCCAAAUGUGUAAGCAACAACCAUGCUUCUACCAAGUCCAGCAAUGGAUCGGUUUAACGCAGAAGCCAUCUGACUAAUGAGUAAGAAUAGAAGGCAGCUGGGUCGCUCUUGGUCUUGUCAAAUGGAGCUGCAAGUUCCUCAGUAAUUCUUUUCCCCACAGAAAAAGAUUGAAAAGCC